rnacentral:rRNA from 1 species
CAGCAGUCGCCGCGGUAAUACAGAGGGUGCGAGCGUUAAUCGGAUUUACUGGGCGUAAAGCGUGCGUAGGCGGCUAAUUGAGUCGGAUGUGAAAUCCCCGAGCUUAACUUGGGAAUUGCAUUCGAUACUGGUUAGCUAGAGUGUGGGAGAGGAUGGUAGAAUUCCAGGUGUAGCGGUGAAAUGCGUAGAGAUCUGGAGGAAUACCGAUGGCGAAGGCAGCCAUCUGGCCUAACACUGACGCUGAGGUACGAAAGCAUGGGGAGCAAACAGGAUUAGAUACCCGGGUAGUCCCUGUCUCUUAUAC